rnacentral:rRNA from 1 species
CCUACGGGAGGCAUCAGUGGGGAAUAUUGCACAAUGGGGGAAACCCUGAUGCAGCGACGCCGCGUGAGUGAAGAAGUAUUUCGGUAUGUAAAGCUCUGUCAGCAGGGAGGAAAAUGACGGUACCUGACCACGAAGCCCCGGCUAACUACGUGCCAGCAGCCGCGGUCAUACGUGGGGAGCAAGCGUUGUCCGGAAUUACUGGGCGAAAAGGGCGGGUAGGUGGGCGCUUAAGUCAGGUGUGAAAACUCCGGGUUCAACCUGGGAACUGCACUUGAAACUGGGUGUCUUGAGGGCAGGAGAGGAAAGUGGAAUUCCUGGUGUAGCGGUGAAAUGCGUAGAUAUUAGGAGGAACACCGGUGGCGAAGGCGACUUUCUGGACUGUACCUGACGCUGAGGCGCGAAAGCGUGGGUAGCGAACGGGAUUAGAUACCCCGGUAGUC